GGUCAGUGAUGUGAUGUAAAAGGUCUGAUAUCCAGGUCUCCUCCCAGUCCGUCCGCCCCUCCCAGCACCCCCUCUUAAUUAUUUCCCAGCAUGCUCUAGUCGUGCAUUGCUGGUUCGAGGUGGGCGGCUGAUACUUUGGACGUUUUUUUGUUUUGUUGCUGAAUACGAGUACGAGCUUUUAGAGAACCGAUUGUGACCUCGACAGCAGCGUCCAACAGACACGACGACACAAAGGGAGGGCCAGACGGGAGUGAGAACGUUUACACUGGUGCAUGAAUCUCAAGUUUUCAAGCUGAGACC